GGAGAACAUCCAGAAAACUUCACAAGCAAACAGGACAUAUUUGCUCAUGCACCACAUAUGCAAAUGUCAGAAGAGAAGUUUUUAGGGUCAAGUGAUAAGCAAAGCUGUAAAAGGAGAACUCAAACCUGACCCCCACCGUUGCAGAAAAAAUUAAUUCAGUCAUUCCAUCAGAGUUUUCUUGUUUCCAGCAAAAUAAAACUGGUGAGAUUCC